UACAGAGGGUGCAAGCGUUGUUCGGAAUUAUUGGGCGUAAAGCGCGUGUAGGCGGCUUAGCAAGUCGGGCGUGAAAGCCCUCGGCUCAACCGAGGAAGUGCACCCGAAACUGCUGAGCUUGAGUGCCGGAGAGGAUGGCGGAAUACCCCAAGUAGAGGUGAAAUUCGUAGAUAUGGGGUGGAACACCGGUGGCGAAGGCGGCCAUCUGGACGGUAACUGACGCUGAUGCGCGAAAGCCAGGGGAGCAAACGGG
rnacentral:rRNA from 1 species